AACGUAGGAGACAAACGUUAUCCGGAGUUACUGGGCGUAAAGGGCGUGUAGGUGGUUUCGUAAGUCUGGCGUGAAAUUUUUCGGCUUAACCGGGAAAGGUCGUCGGAUACUGUGGGACUAGAGGACGGUAGAGGCGUGUGGAAUUCCGGGUGUAGUGGUGAAAUGCGUAGAGAUCCGGAGGAACACCAGUGGCGAAGGCGACACGCUGGGCCGUACCUGACACUGAUGCGCGACAGCAUGGGGAGCAAACAGG
rnacentral:rRNA from 1 species